UUGGAGUCCACCUCCAACUCAAUUGAUCGUGUCCUCAAAUAGCUAACCACACGAUGGUCCCAAGUUUAGCUACGCUGCCUAGCCAAUCUAUCGAGACUUCGUCGCUUGGCCGCUAUUCGCCAUGGACAUCGGGAGGGAUCGGAGCUGCACAAGCACGAUGUCGGGGAGGCCAUGUUGUCGGCUGUUCGCCAUGCCGGCCUGACGACAAAGAGAAGGCAUUGGAGCCGAACGAGGACGAUGUUCGGCUGCUCAAAUCGAAAAUACUUGCGAUUGAAUUCUCCCAGUCACGACACCCUGACCACGGGCUCCCGGGAAGGGCAGGCGCAUCGAACCUCCGUUCCAACGCUGCCGGACUCUUGCCAGCGCGCCGGUCUUGAUUCACCCGCCUGCCCCUUCGGUUACUCCGGAAUUUGAAGAGAGACAGAGCCGGGGAUCGUAUGUCAUGUAAUGCGGCGAAGGGUCUUCAGUCUGGUGCUUGUCUUUCUGGCGUGCCUACACUGUUGCCGUAAUGCCGUCGCUCGCGGGCCGGUAGGUACUGCUCAUCCGAUACGUCGACAGACACGUUCUGCAGCCAGGCAUCCACGGGGAAGAUCAGGAGGCCAUUGUUUAGUCCGAGGAAGAAGACCGUCUGCCAGACCCCUGAUCAUAAGCUUGCUGUCAUGUAAGCCAUGUAAGGAAAGGGAGGUUGGAUCAGCUUCUCAAAUUUACGUAUGCUUCUGGUCUCACGCCGAGUGCGCAAUCUAUCCUACAUUUAAUUCUGAAUAGGGCUGUAGGAUUUGCGUAUAUAUGAAACACGUGGUAUUUAGUUUCCAGAAAGCGAGGCACACAUCUCCAGCGCUAUGGGAAUAUAAUAAUUCAGAUAAUCUAUUCGGACCCUGAUUCCUUUCGAGCCCACUGCUGUUGUAGAAGAGGCACACUAUGUUUUCAUGUUUUCCUCUCUUCUUUGUUUCGUUCUAAAAGAGCAUGUUAUUGGCAUGUACGACUGCCUGCAUUCUGUAGUUUACCUCUGAAUGUACAUCGUAAUGUUGGCUUGCUACUGUAGUUUAGUUUUGAUUCUAUCUUUACUUUUGGAAAAUACAAUUGUCAAUUGGCUA